UUUGACAGUCGCUCAUGGCCUUUAAAUCGUGAAGUGCACAGUGUACUCAAGUGCCAUAAAUUAACCCAAGUAGCGAGGAGGUAUGGCGAUCAUUGCACAUUAUAGUCACCCUGAUAUACUAUUAUGAAGACAUGGAAGUACAACCAAGUUCCAAACCCGGAGUUUUGUACUAUAAGACCAAUCAUCAAUAUGACAACUGUUCAAUUAUUGCUGAAGCCUGCAGUGGAAAUGCUAACAAUGUGGACUAUGCCUACUCAUGGGAUAACAGAUAUAUAUCAAGCAAUCAACAAGGAUAAACUGACAGACAUAGCCUAAAUGACUUAAGAAGCUCCAGAAUGAAUGAUGUUAGUUCAAGCAUGGUUUUAGAAAUUGGUUCAAGCUCCAUCUACUGAUCAUUCAGGAAGUGCUCCAAGUACAAAGUCAGGAUUCAUAUAAAGCAUCUCAACUAUCUGA